AUAUCAUAUCUUCGAAGUGGAUCCGGAUCGGAUCUUAUAUCAAAUCCGGAUUCUAGAUAAUAAGUCCAGCCCUAUGAUACAAUGACCAUUUUUAGCGAUUACUUUCGUUUAAAAAGAGUAGAUGUAAAAGGCAAAAAAAUGUUAGAAAAUAUUUACUAGGUGAGAAGAUAGUCCAGUGAACUGGAUGAAGAAGUCGACAGAACCCUAAAGAACACGGCCACCUUCAUCCCAUCUGCUGAUCCGGCGGUUGGAGGUCUUCGGUGCUUUCAGGAGUGGGUCCACUUGAUUUUCUUCUAAGUCUGUAUGAUGGUAAUUUCGACAUCACGACUUGGUGUUUUGAACGGCUACAAAUCUGAGUUUAAGAAGCGAUUCAGGUUGGUUUUUCUGUUGAAUCUCGUGUGAACUAGAUCAGAAGGAGUUUAGAUGGAUGUAGGGUUCGUCAGCUUCAUUGUGGUGGUCAUGAGAUUUUCUGUCGGGCUUUGAUUUCGGUGAAGUUCAGUGGUUAUGCUCGGUCUGAAGCAUCUCAUGUUGGUGGGUGCACCAAAGAUGCCUAAGUUAUGCUAUUGUCUUGGUCUUUAGUCCUAGAUUAUUUAUGUUUGGUUGGUGUUUUUUGAUCUGAGGCUUGAGAGGUUAUUUGAUCUCUUCUUCAUUUUCUAGUUUUGUUUGAAAUGCCUUUUUAAUUUCGAAACUGUUUUCUGAUACGUGGUGUAGAACUAAACUGGCUUUGAUGUGAGUUAUAUUUCUUCCAUCGAAUUUGGUGAGGCUGUUUUCCGCUGAGUCUUUGUUGGUUGUGCGGUUGCGGCUCUCAUCUCUUUAUCUCUUACUUGUGUGACCAAAGGUUAUCUCAGAAUUGGUAUAUGUUUUAGCGUCGGAUUGUGAAUUAAAUUCUUUAGCUUUCUCGAUUUUGUUGGUCUUGAGGUUGUGGUGAUUGGUGGAUUCUUAGUGAUUGCGGUUAGGUCAUCCUGACUAUGGUACUUGGUGCUGUCAAUUGGUCUUUGUGGCGUCAUAUAUUCUAUCGGAUCUGUUUUCGAUGAGAGGAUUCUCCAUGCGUAACCAAUAACUACCGCGCAAGGACUUUUGAGGCCCACAAAAGUUCACACUUGCGAAGCAAAAGACAUGUGUCCCUACAAAGAUCGCUUACGAUUUUGAUGUUGUGUAUGAAUGAACAUUGUCAUCGAACCCUACUAAUACUAUUUUCCCCUAACCAAAUUAAUUUUGAAAUAACAA